AAGCAUAGUGGCAUGUGCCAAUGACUUCUGGGAUCAGAUGUCAUGUCACAUAAUGUUCAAACUGCUGUUAUGUUAAUGUUUAGCUAUUGUGGGUUUUAGUAAAUAAUAUAGACAUCUAACAAACUGAAGUCGUGGUUACGUAAAUCAUCAUUUCUACCUCUAAUCAGCACAGGCUCCUUUGUGACAGAGAGGAAGUGAGCUGAAACGAAUUCUGCAGCGCGAUCCCAGAGGAGAGACUCGAUCAUUUUUGUGACUACACAUGCCCAGCAUCCUUUCGGAAUUCUUACCAUAUCUAUAAGCAGCAGCUAAAGCGAGCGGUAUACCAGGCAUGUCCUGAAAUAAAGCAGCUGUCAUCAAUAUCUCCUCUCUUGGGGGAUCCAUGACCAGAAUGCCUCCAAUUCCCAGAGUUGUCUUACUGCAGUAGCAAGGUACACAGAGUCCUGUUUUGGCACUAGUUAAACUAGAGCCCAUUCAUUUUUCUGUGAUGUAUUGAUGCCAUAAGCUGAUAUAUAACUCUCAGGCAGGUUUUAACAUGCUGACUGUGUUAGCUGCGGAAAGAGAUGAGAUCCUCUGCAUUGGUGAAAACUGAACUGUGUGGAGAAAAAGCACCACUUGAGCCAAAAGAAAGUGUGAAGGGGAUGCUGCGUGUCAUUGGCAGCCUCACUGAGAAGCAUCACGGAGGAUUCCUGGACUACACUGGAAAAACUGUGACCUGGUAAACCAGAACCGUAUGGUCGCAAAAAGGCUAAUCCAGGUCCAAACUGACCUUAAUAACCAUAAAAGGCACACAAGGAUUUAUGAGAGCAUUUUCAUACAGUAAAACUCUUAUCAGUUAAAGGGUUUUAUUUUGGUUUAAUCUUCAUUCCUUGUCAUGUUUCCGUUUGCCUUAGUUGGGUUUGUUCAAUAUUUUCUAUAGUUACUGAGUACAUUCCCCUGUUCUGUUAAUUAUCUUUAUUACUUUUCCUUGUUAUUACGUAAUUUUAUGCCCAGUCUUCAAUGUUUGGUGUCAUCUUAGUAGUGUUGUGAUUGCAUUCUCUAUGUAUUCCUUGGAUUUUGAAUUAAAGACUAUGCUGUCUUUGUUUUCAUAUAUUUGUCUGUAGCUGCCGCUUGUGACACUAACAUGACACUUGGGGCCGUAUGUAUAAAACACUCAGAGCUCAUUUUUAGUCUUAAAAUCCUAAGAAUGACAUAAUUUUUCUCUUAUUACUAGACUUAAUAAGAGUGAUUCAUAAAACUUCCUAAGUGUUAAGACUAAGUCUCAACUCCUAAAUUAUUUAAGAGAGCAGGAGAAGUGCCUUUUUUUAAUCUUUUUUUUUUUUUUUUUUUUUGACCCCACAUUUCACUUAAAUCAUCAUGAGUCAGCGUGACAGCAUGGGCAAGAAUUAUGAACGCACAAAUUGGCAUGUUUAUUUGCAUCAUCACAAAUAAAACAAUUGACUCUAAGCAACUAUGCAAUAUACUUAUAAAAUCUUUCAACACAUUUUUUUUUUUUUUUAAGUUUGAAGAUAGCAAAUUUCCCAGGCCGGACAUCACUUUUGGCCACUUCUUUAUGGCAGUUCAUUGACUUUCCAACUGACUGCAAACCAUGCUGCAAAAACAAGCCACGUUUAUGAGGAUUGUGGGCUUUCCUGGAGUUGUUGGAGCUCUUGAUGGAACUCAUG